UGUGCCUCCCUGAAGGCUGAAGAUUUCCCUGGAACUGUUGGCUGUCGGGGGUCGGUGUUGGUGGCGGAGUGUUCUGGGGGGCUUGAAAUAGCCGUGUGUGCCUGUGUGAACCAGUGUGUGACUGUGUGCACCUGCAUGUACAACUGAGUAGGAGUGAGUGUGAGCGAAUGAGAGUGUGGAUGACUGUGUGAAAGUGAGUGUAUGUAUGAAUGACAGUGACUGUGUGUGUGUAAGACUGAGUGUGAGUGUGAGUGGAGUUUGAGCAAAUGAGAGUGUGAAUGAGUAUGUGAAAGUGAGUGUGAGUGUGUGUAUGAAUGAGUGACUGGGUGUAUGAGCGUGAAUGUGUGUGUAAGACUGAGUGUAUGAGUGUGAGUGUGUAUGCGUGUGAGUGUAAGACUGAGUUUAUGAGCGAGUGUGUGUAUGCAUGUGAGCGUGUAUGUGUGUUAGUGGGUGUCUAUGUGUGUUAGUGAGUGCGUAUGCAUGUGAGUGAGAGAGUGUGUGUGCAGUGGUUAACAUCUCACAGACAUUUCCUGGCCACACAAAGGACAUCGAGGAGUCCGGGAUCCUAACUGAAGCUGGAUGGGAACGGCCGAGAUAGACUCUAUCGAGUCAGGCAUGUUGAGUGAUGCUCACAUUUAGUCUUGACCGCGGUCAGUCCUGCAUGGCAGGCAUCCUCACAAACUCCGUACAGGUGAGGAAACAAAACAGAAGAGAUUAAGU
rnacentral:lncRNA from 1 species